GCCGUGAGGAAGUGGAGACACUACCUUAGGGGUAAGCAUUUUAUGUUAAUUACUGAUCAGAAGUCAGUAGCUUACAUGUUUGAUACCAAGCAAAAGAGCAAAAUUAAGAACGAUAAGAUAAUGAGAUGGAGGAUGGAACUAUCCACUUAUGAUUUUGAUAUAAUAUACAGAGCAGGAGAAGAGAAUGUACCAGCGGAUACAUUUUCUAGGAUAAGAGCAAUGAGCAUGACCUCCGAUAAGUUGAUAGAGCUUCAUGAAUCCUUGUGUCACCCAGGAAUAACGCGGAUGGCACAUUUUGUAAAAAACCGUAAUCUCCCUUUCUCUAUGGAUGAAAUUAAGCUCAUGACACAGUCCUGCAAGAUAUGCAGGGAAAGUAAGCCUCAAUAUUACAAAACAGAAAAUUUCCAUUUAGUAAAAGCGACUCAACCCUUCGAGAGACUUAGUUUGGACUUCAAAGGACCAUUGCCGACGACUAAUCAUAAUAAGUUUCUUCUUACUAUAAUAAAUGAAUAUUCAAGAUUUCCUUUUGCUUUCGCUUGUAAAGACGUUAGCGCGGAGUCAAUUAUAAAUUGUCUCUGCGAAUUGUUUUCGAUUUUCGGUAUGCCUGCUUACAUACAUUCGGAUAGAGGUUCUGGCUUUAUGAGUGCAAAAGUUAAAGACUUUCUCCUCCAGAAAGGAAUCUCGUCAAGCCGAACCACACCAUAUAACCCAGAAGGGAACGGCCAAGUAGAACGUUUGAACGGCACUCUAUGGAAGACUAUUUCCCUCGCGAUGAAGACGCGAGGACUACCGGCCAGCUGCUGGCAAGAAGUUUUGCAUGAUGCUCUUCAUUCCAUCAGAUCUCUGUUGUGCACCGCUACUAAUGUAACACCGCAUGAACGCCUCUUUAUCCACCAACGAAGAUCGACGAGUGGAACUUCCAUACCAACGUGGCUAUCCAAACCUGGACUGGUACUGUUGAAGCGUCAAGUAAAACAAUCUAAGUAUGACCCAUCUGUCGAUGAAGUAGAGCUAAUCGAAGCAAAUCCUCAGUAUGCGCAUGUAAAAUUUCCUGAUGGAAGAGAAGAUACCGUAGCCACUAAGUUCCUCGCUCCACAAGCUGAGGAAAAAGAGAAGUUAUGCGAGAAACCGCUACCACUAUCGCCUUAUAAAGAUAAUACUGUAGACGACCCACGUCAAUCUCCUUUGGCCACAAAAGACGCUAGGAAACUAAAUAAUAGUUCGCCAAAGGAAAGAGAAGGGAACUCACUACUAGAGGAUCCCGCUCUACCUGAUCAGUCGUCUUCACAACAGGCACUACCGUUACGCCGCUCGCUGAGAGAAAAGAAACAACCCGACCGCCUGACAUAUACAUGACAUUGAACUAAAAGUAAAAAAAAGACAAUCGGGCAGGACCAGUCUUAUUCAGAUUAUUUAAUUUAGAUUAUAUAGUUAUUUCAAAUAGGAGAGGGUGAUUGUAGUGAUUAUUACAUGAAGUACACCCACCUUAGUAACCGCGCCUAGUUUAAGAUAAUUACUUAUAAAGAGACAUUUUGUAGACUUUAAUUUAGUGUUGAGUAAAGCCUUAUUUUGAAAGGUUGUUCUUUGGUGUUUACUUGAAUUCAAACUUCUACUUCAAAUAUUCCCGUGGUAGUUAUAAAUCAUUUAAAAACAAACUUGAAAGAAACGCUAAAGAAACAGAGAGGUUGUUGUUGAAGAGAGAAGUCAAUCAGAUCAAGAAAAACAUAAUGAAUCAUUUGAAGAAACUUUAGAGGGCUUACGAAAUGGUGAGACGCGUGAGAGGAAUGGAAACGAAAGUAGAAAAAACGUCGGCUCAUUUAAUAAAGAGACGAGCAGUUCAUCGUGGACUCAUAAUGACAGCGGUUUUGGAAAGAAACAUCAUGUGCCAAUAAAUGGUGUGCAAGUCCUACCACCCGAACCAGUUUUCAUCAAGUUUGAAAGUAGCGAUCAGGAGAAUGAAAAUUGAAGUUGAAUGUUUUAUUAACAAGCUUUUUUAGACUUAUAAAUGGUUCACUUUAUGGAGGUGAAUUUACGUUUGAUAUAUGAUUUGAGAUAAUUGACUAUUUAUUUUAUCAUUCUCUAACAUACUUUAUCUUUACAUUUGAAGUCAUGUACAAAUGCUUGCCUGUAGGACAUUUAAAUUAAAUAUUGUCUAAAUGAAUCAAUUUCCCCCCUCCCCCCCUAGAAAUCAUAAACAUUGUUUGGAGAAAAAAAUGUUGUUCCUGCUGUUGUUUUGAAAUUCCUGCAUUUUUAAAAUAAUAUAUGUGUAUGACGACGUAAAAAACAAAACAUUAUUUUAAUGGUUUUAAUCAGACGGAAAACAGUAGAGAAGUUAAAGUUGUUGAAAUACUAGUCGGAGAUUGGUGAAUUAUCCAUGUAAGUUUUUUAUACUUUCUUAUAGGGUGUUCUUUACACGAGUAAAGACUGCUUCUCUUCGAAAAUACUAGUUUGAAAUUGUAAAUUCUUUCAGUAAAUUGUUUCAUUGAAUGCUUUAUAAAAAUUACGUCAAACAUUGAA